rnacentral:misc_RNA from 1 species
GAUGAAGAACGUAGCGAAAUGCGAUAAGUAAUGUGAAUUGCAGAAUUCAGUGAAUCAUCGAAUCUUUGAACGCACAUUGCGCCCGCCAGUAUUCUGGCGGGCAUGCCUGUUCGAGCGUCAUUUCAACCAUCAAGCCCUGCUUGCGUUGGGGUCCUGCGGCUGCCCGCAGGCCCUGAAAACCAGUGGCGGGCUCGCUAGUCACACCGAGCGCAGUAAUACAUCUCGCUUUGGGCGUGCGGCGGGUUCUUGCCGUUAAACACCCCCUUUUUACCAAGGUUGACCUCGGAUCAGGUAGGAAUACCCGCUGAACUUAAGCAUAUCAAUAAGCGGAGAA